UACGUAGGGGGCAAGCGUUGUCCGGAAUUAUUGGGCGUAAAGCGCGCGCAGGCGGCUUCUUAAGUCUGAUGUGAAAGCCCACGGCUCAACCGUGGAGGGUCAUUGGAAACUGGGAAGCUUGAGUGCAGAAGAGGAGAGUGGAAUUCCACGUGUAGCGGUGAAAUGCGUAGAUAUGUGGAGGAACACCAGUGGCGAAAGCGGCUCUCUGGUCUGUAACUGACGCUGAGGCGCGAAAGCGUGGGGAGCAAACAGG
rnacentral:rRNA from 2 species